UACGUAGGAGGCGAGCGUUGUCCGGAUUUACUGGGCGUAAAGAGCGCGCAGGCGGUCGUUCAAGUCGAGUGUGAAAGCCCCCGGCUCAACUAGGGAGGGUCAUUCGAUACUGAUCGACUCGAAGGCAGGAGAGGGAAGUGGAAUUCCCGGUGUAGUGGUGAAAUGCGUAGAUAUCGGGAGGAACACCAGUGGCGAAGGCGACUUCCUGGCCUGUUCUUGACGCUGAGGCGCGAAAGCUAGGGGAGCAAACGGG
rnacentral:rRNA from 1 species